UUUGAUGGUUGUGUAGUGGUAUAGAAAUAUACAUAUUUCUAUACAAAUAGUUUCCAGGUGUGACGCUCCGGUUGGGUAAAGUGGGCGGGGUAUAUAAGCGGCCGCUGUGCCCAGUCAGACAUGUGUCUUCCUCAUCAUCCACUGUGUGGCCCGCGUCUCUUGGGUUCCGGCGGAAGAAAAGGCAACAUAUCGCCAGUGUGGUGCAUGCUGUUUUGAUUCCCUGGUGGUGAAACGCUAUUGUGCUGCUCUCCUCUGCUUCCUCGUUCAGCGAGUGUGUGUGUGCGUUUUUGCCUGGAUUGACAGUUGCUGAGGCCCGGUGGCGGUGCUGGUGUGGUGACGGUGUCUCCCUCUUUUUUGUGCCGUGAUUCCUGAGUUUUGGUUGUCUCACUGCGUCUGGUGCUUUUACGGUUUUUUUGUUUGCUGUGUUUGGUGGAUGCCGUCCCUAUAGUGGCCCCUUCUGCCGGUGACCUCAGCUACUAUAGUUUUUUUCUGUUUUUCCUUAGUUUUUUUGUUGUAAAGAACUGGUUUUAAAAAGAGUUUUAAAAGAAUUUAAUAAAUAGCUUUUUGUGUAUUUG